rfam:Oryza barthii chromosome 1, whole genome shotgun sequence.
AAAAAGGCAAACCUUAGGUUUCCGUGUCAAUAUUUGACUGUCCGUCUUAUAUAAAAUUUUUUUGUAAUUAGUAUUUUCAUUGUUGUUAGAUGAUAAAACAAGAUUAAUACUUUACGCGUGACUUAUCUUUUUAAUUUUUUUCAAAUAAGACGAACGGUCAAACGUUGGACACGGAAACCAGGGUUUGUCUUUUU